UACGUAGGUGGCAAGCGUUGUCCGGAAUUAUUGGGCGUAAAGCGCGCGCAGGUGGUUCUUUAAGUCUGAUGUGAAAGCCCACGGCUCAACCGUGGAGGGUCAUUGGAAACUGGGGGACUUGAGUACAGAAGAGAAGAGUGGAAUUCCAGGUGUAGCGGUGAAAUGCGUAGAUAUCUGGAGGAACACCGGUGGCGAAGGCGGCAUCCUGGACCGGUAUUGACGCUGAGGCGCGAAAGCUAGGGGAGCAAACGGG
rnacentral:rRNA from 1 species